GUGGGGAAUCUUCCGCAAUGGACGAAAGUCUGACGGAGCAACGCCGCGUGAGUGAUGAAGGUCUUCGGAUUGUAAAGCUCUGUUAAUCGGGACGAAAGAGCCUAGUGUGAAUAAUGCUAGGAAGUGACGGUACCGGAAUAGAAAGCCACGGCUAACUACGUGCCAGCAGCCGCGGUAAUACGUAGGUGGCAAGCGUUGUCCGGAAUUAUUGGGCGUAAAGCGCGCGCAGGCGGAUCUGCCAGUCUGUCUUAAAAGUUCGGGGCUUAACCCCGUGAUGGGAUGGAAACUACAGAUCUAGAGUAUCGGAGAGGAAAGUGGAAUUCCUAGUGUAGCGGUGAAAUGCGUAGAUAUUAGGAAGAACACCAGUGGCGAAGGCGACUUUCUGGACGAAAACUGACGCUGAGGCGCGAAAGCCAGGGGAGCGAACGGGAUUAGAAACCCGAGUAGUCC
rnacentral:rRNA from 1 species